UACGUAGGGUGCGAGCGUUGUCCGGAAUUACUGGGCGUAAAGAGCUCGUAGGUGGUUUGUCGCGUUGUUCGUGAAAGCCCGAGGCUCAACCUCGGGUCGGCCGUGCGAACUGGGUCACUGGAGCAGAAUAGGGGCAGGUGGAAUUCCAGGUGUAGCGGUGAAAUGCGUAGAUAUCUGGAGGAAUACCGGUGGCGAAGGCGGCAUCCUGGACCGAGAUUGACGCUGAUGAGCGAAAGCUAGGGGAGCAAACGGG
rnacentral:rRNA from 1 species